GGUAGUGUCUGUGUAGGUAAUCUCAUGCGGUAACUGUGAGCGUGUGAAAAACUAUGGCUCAUAUUACCUCGUGGGAUUUCCCAUCCACUACC
rfam:Trichomalopsis sarcophagae strain Alberta scaffold521, whole genome shotgun sequence.